rnacentral:rRNA from 1 species
AGGAAUUUUCCGCAAUGGGCGCAAGCCUGACGGAGCAAUGCCGCGUGGAGGAUGAAAUCCCUUGGGAUGUAAACUCCUUUCGAUCGGGACGAUAAUGACGGUACCGAUAGAAGAAGCCCCGGCUAACUUCGUGCCAGCAGCCGCGGUAAUACGAGGGGGGCAAGCGUUGUUCGGAAUUAUUGGGCGUAAAGGGUGCGUAGGCGGUUUGAUCAGUCUUAUGUGAAAUCUAUGGGCUCAACCCAUAGUCUGCAUAGGAAACUGUCAGGCUUGAGGAUGGGAGAGGUGAGUGGAAUUUCCGGUGUAGCGGUGAAAUGCGUAGAUAUCGGAAGGAACACCUGUGGCGAAAGCGGCUCACUGGACCAUUACUGACGCUGAUGCACGAAAGCUAGGGGAGCAAAC